CAGCCGUAAACUAUGCGCGUUAGGUGUACUGGUGACCACGAGUCACCGGGGUGCCGAAGGGAAACCGUGAAACGUGCCGCCUGGGAAGUACGGUCGCAAGGCUGAAACUUAAAGGAAUUGGCGGGGGAGCACCACAACGGGUGGGAGCCUGCGGGUUUAAUUUGGACUCAACGCCGGAAAUACUCACCGGAUAGGACAGACAUAUGAUAGUCGGGCUGAAGACUCUACUUGAUGAUCUGAGAGGUGGUGCAUGGC
rnacentral:rRNA from 1 species